UGGGGAAUAUUGGACAAUGGGCGCAGCCUGAUCCAGCCAUGCCGCGUGUGUGAAGAAGGCCUUAUGGUUGUAAAGCACUUUAAGCGAGGAGGAGGCUACUUUAGAUAAUACCUAGAGAUAGUGGACGUUACUCGCAGAAUAAGCACCGGCUAACCCUGUGCUAG
rnacentral:rRNA from 1 species